rnacentral:rRNA from 1 species
AUUGAACGCUGGCGGCAUGCCUUACACAUGCAAGUCGAACGGCAGCACGGGUGCUUGCACCUGGUGGCGAGUGGCGAACGGGUGAGUAAUACAUCGGAACGUACCUUAUCGUGGGGGAUAACGCAGCGAAAGCUGUGCUAAUACCGCAUACGCCCUGAGGGGGAAAGCGGGGGAUCGCAAGACCUCGCGCGAUUAGAGCGGCCGAUGCCUGAUUAGCUUGUUGGUGGAGUAAAAGCCCACCAAGGCGACGAUCCGGAGCUGGUCUGAGAGGACGAUCAGCCACACGGGGACUGAGACACGGCCCAGACUCCUACGGGAGGCAGCAGUGGGGAAUUUUGGACAAUGGGGGCAACACUGAUCCAGCAAUGCCGCGUGAGUGAAGAAGGCCUUCGGGUUGUAAAGCUCUUUUGUCAGGGAAGAAACACCGGCUCUAACACAGUCCGGGAAUGACGGUACCUGAAGAAUAAGCACCGGCUAACUACGUGCCAGCCGCCGCGGUAA